ACACCCACUGUGUCAAAGACAGCCAAGGGUUUGGUGUUGUACUGCACCAGACAGCGUGUUGGGUGUGUGAUAGUCAGACUGCCCUUCCUGUGGGAGGAGAUUUAGAGGGAGAUGUUGCUUUUUGGUGUGCAAAAAUAGCUAUCUGUGGAAGCUGGAGGAUUUCAGAGAGGGAGGAGGCUUGUUAGGGAAAGGAUUAACAGCGAGUACAUGGAUGGUCAUAUUUCAGUACAAACACCUGUAAAUCAGCCUAAGCCUAUACAGAAACUAAGAUUUCAGCAAGUGAUAUACUGAGAGGAGAACAGGAAUCAAAUCUUGUAAAAGGAUGUUCUUGUAAAUACUUGUCCUGUGUCUUCACUGGGUUGAGAGAAGACAGAUGACAGAAGAUUUGGGACAGUAGCCUGUGGUGCUCCUAGAGAUAGAUCCAACUGCCUGUAGCCAGUAUGAUAGAGUGACGAUGCAGAAGAAGUCUUACCUGCUGCACUGGCAGAAUUUCAGGAUGAUGAACCCCUCCUUUCUCCAGACCUGUGCAGGAAUCUGCCACUGUUUGGCCACAUCUCGAAACAGACUGAGCAAAGGACUGCUGAGAUGCACAGGUGGGAGCACCAGUCCUCCUCUUGCACCUGCGGUGCCCUGGUUGGGAAUGGAGAUAUUGUAGGAGAGGAACCCUGCAUUUGGUGGUGGCUAAGAAGAGGUAGGUGUCUUUGGCAAGCAGUGAAGUCUUUCUGUUCUUCAGGGAUGUAUAUACCAAAAUAAUCUUCUGUAUUUUUAGGAGAAAAGUCUCUGUUCUGACCUCAAUACAGGAAAGCUCACCCCCAAACUCCUGCUUGAUGUUCUCUGACUUGGAGCCAGGGAGGACCUUUUCUGCAAGCUCCUGCACAGAAGAGGCCUGUUGCUGUGAACUCUUGCAUAGUAAUUAGAGGAAACAACUUUGGGCUCCCACCAGUGGUUAUGCAACAGGGCUGGAUCUGGCCCAUUUGUUGCUGCACUGCCCAAUGCCACCAGGCUGGUGCCUCUUUCCAGAAACCCCUCCUUCAACUCUGUCUCCCUCCUGGGGAGCCUCUGCAGGCUGCAGGAGGCAGCAAACAGGAACUUCUGCCCCACAGUUGGCUCCCAGGUAAAUCCUGUCUGGACCUACUGGGGAAAAUUGUAACCCCUUGGUAGAAAUGAUCCAAGUUUCCAAGGCAACUACCCUCUAGCCCUAUUUUGAACGCUGCCUUGUUCCCAUAGAAAGUUGCCCGUUAGUCUCGUCAGCAGCUGCCGCAGAGAGCACACCACCUCCAGAGGAGUUGUCCUCUGCAGAGCUCUUUAUUCCCAUAAUGAGCAGCCGGGGGGGCGGAGGCAUGUGCAGCUUGGUGCUGCUGGCCCCCAGCCGUGCUCGGGCAGGGCACUGCACAGCCCAGGAGAUGCUUUGGAGCGAGCUUGGGUGCUUCUGCCUCUGCCUUCCCAGGGAGAAGUAGGUGCCUGGGGCUCCCCGGAGGUGCAGGGAGUUGGGGGCUGGAGUGUGGAUGGGGCUGCUUGGACGUUUUUUGGUGAGCUGGAG
rnacentral:lncRNA from 1 species